rnacentral:rRNA from 1 species
UACGUAGGGUGCAAGCGUUGUCCGGAAUUAUUGGGCGUAAAGAGCUCGUAGGCGGUCUGUCGCGUCUGCUGUGAAAACUCGGGGCUUAACCCCGGGCCUGCAGUGGGUACGGGCAGACUAGAGUGCGGUAGGAGAGACUGGAAUUCCUGGUGUAGCGGUAAAAUGCGCAGAUAUCAGGAGGAACACCGAUGGCGAAGGCAGGUCUCUGGGCAUUAACUGACGCUGAGGAGCGAAAGCAUGGGGAGCGAACAGG